rnacentral:rRNA from 1 species
GACGAACGCUGGCGGCGUGCUUAACACAUGCAAGUCGAACGGAAAGGCCCUGCUUUUGUGGGGUGCUCGAGUGGCGAACGGGUGAGUAACACGUGAGUAACCUGCCCUUGACUUUGGGAUAACUUCAGGAAACUGGGGCUAAUACCGGAUAGGAGCUCCUGCUGCAUGGUGGGGGUUGGAAAGUUUCGGCGGUUGGGGAUGGACUCGCGGCUUAUCAGCUUGUUGGUGGGGUAGUGGCUUACCAAGGCUUUGACGGGUAGCCGGCCUGAGAGGGUGACCGGCCACAUUGGGACUGAGAUACGGCCCAGACCCCUACGGGAGGCAGCAGUGGGGAAUAUUGCACAAUGGGCGGAAGCCUGAUGCAGCAACGCCGCGUGCGGGAUGACGGCCUUCGGGUUGUAAACCGCUUUCGCCUGUGACGAAGCGUGAGUGACGGUGAUGGGUAAAGAAGCACCGGCUAACUACGUGCCAGCAGCCGCGGUGAUACGUAGGGUGCGAGCGUUGUCCGGAUUUAUUGGGCGUAAAGGGCUCGUAGGUGGUUGAUCGCGUCGGAAGUGUAAUCUUGGGGCUUAACCCUGAGCGUGCUUUCGAUACGGGUUGACUUGAGGAAGGUAGGGGAGAAUGGAAUUCCUGGUGGAGCGGUGGAAUGCGCAGAUAUCAGGAGGAACACCAGUGGCGAAGGCGGUUCUCUGGGCCUUUCCUGACGCUGAGGAGCGAAAGCGUGGGGAGCGAACAGGCUUAGAUACCCUGGUAGUCCACGCUGUAAACGGUGGGUACUAGGUGUGGGGUCCAUUCCACGGGUUCCGUGCCGUAGCUAACGCUUUAAGUACCCCGCCUGGGGAGUACGGCCGCAAGGCUAAAACUCAAAGGAAUUGACGGGGCCCCGCACAAGCGGCGGAGCAUGCGGAUUAAUUCGAUGCAACGCGUAGAACCUUACCUGGGUUUGACAUGGAUCGGGAGUGCUCAGAGAUGGGUGUGCCUCUUUUGGGGUCGGUUCACAGGUGGUGCAUGGCUGUCGUCAGCUCGUGUCGUGAGAUGUUGGGUUAAGUCCCGCAACGAGCGCAACCCUUGUUCACUGUUGCCAGCACGUUAUGGUGGGGACUCAGUGGAGACCGCCGGGGUCAACUCGGAGGAAGGUGGGGAUGACGUCAAGUCAUCAUGCCCCUUAUGUCCAGGGCUUCACGCAUGCUACAAUGGCUGGUACAGAGAGUGGCGAGCCUGUGAGGGUGAGCGAAUCUCGGAAAGCCGGUCUCAGUUCGGAUUGGGGUCUGCAACUCGACCUCAUGAAGUCGGAGUCGCUAGUAAUCGCAGAUCAGCAACGCUGCGGUGAAUACGUUCCCGGGGCU